AAUGUGGGCUAUUAGUUGCUUAGAAUGAAAGCCUUAUAUGUAUGUAAUAUAUUUUGUUUCAUUACAGGUGCAACAACGACUGCUAUGGGACCUAAUGCAUCUACAACAAUGACAACUGCUACACCAGAAGUAACAACUACAGCAGGGUCAAGUGUCCUCACACCAAUGGUUCUUUUUGUUCUUGCAUGUGCUUUCCUUGGAUUAUUCCACUAAAUGUUGCGUAUACAUACCCCAAGUAGUAAUGGGUUUAUUAGAAUAAGUGCUUGUAUCUUAUUAGAUAGUGUCGUUUACUCUUUGUCMAUUUUUGUGCCUGUACAAAAUCAAGUUCUGUAAAAUUCAAUUGUCUUGAUUUUUAUAUACAGUACAUGUCCGUGUGAGUUUUCUCCUUAGCCAGAUGUUCAUUUAGAAACAUUGGAAUUGUUGCUAUAAUUUACAUAUGGAGUGUAACACAUUCUGUGUUAUUGAAUUGUAUUUUUACUUUCUGUGGUAAUAGCUUUAAUAAACUCUAAAAAAAAACUUUCAUAAAAA